AGAGUUUGAUCAUGGCUCAGAACGAACGCUGGCGGCAGGCUUAACACAUGCAAGUCGAGCGCCUCGCAAGAGGAGCGGCAGACGGGUGAGUAACGCGUGGGAAUCUACCCAUCACUACGGAACAACUCCGGGAAACUGGAGCUAAUACCGUAUACGACCGAGAGGUGAAAGAUUUAUCGGUGAUGGAUGAGCCCGCGUUGGAUUAGCUAGUUGGUGGGGUAAAGGCCUACCAAGGCGACGAUCCAUAGCUGGUCUGAGAGGAUGAUCAGCCACAUUGGGACUGAGACACGGCCCAAACUCCUACGGGAGGCAGCAGUGGGGAAUAUUGGACAAUGGGCGCAAGCCUGAUCCAGCCAUGCCGCGUGAGUGAUGAAGGCCCUAGGGUUGUAAAGCUCUUUCACCGGAGAAGAUAAUGACGGUAUCCGGAGAAGAAGCCCCGGCUAACUUCGUGCCAGCAGCCGCGGUAAUACGAAGGGGGCUAGCGUUGUUCGGAAUUACUGGGCGUAAAGCGCACGUAGGCGGACAUUUAAGUCAGGGGUGAAAUCCCAGAGCUCAACUCUGGAACUGCCUUUGAUACUGGGUGUCUUGAGUAUGGAAGAGGUGAGUGGAAUUCCGAGUGUAGAGGUGAAAUUCGUAGAUAUUCGGAGGAACACCAGUGGCGAAGGCGGCUCACUGGUCCAUUACUGACGCUGAGGUGCGAAAGCGUGGGGAGCAAACAGGAUUAGAUACCCUAGUAGUCC
rnacentral:rRNA from 1 species